rnacentral:rRNA from 1 species
GUUAUCGUUUAUCUGAUAGUACCUUACUACUUGGAUAACCGUGGUAAUUCUAGAGCUAAUACAUGCUGAAAACCCCAACUUCGGGAGGGGUGUAUUUAUUAGAUAAAAAACCAACGCCCUUCGGGGCUUCUUGGUGAUUCAUGAUAACUUCACGGAUCGCAUGGCCUUGCGCCGGCGACGGUUCAUUCAAAUUUCUGCCCUAUCAACUUUCGAUGGUAAGGUAUUGGCUUACCAUGGUUUCAACGGGUAACGGGGAAUUAGGGUUCGAUUCCGGAGAGGGAGCCUGAGAAACGGCUACCACAUCCAAGGAAGGCAGCAGGCGCGCAAAUUACCCAAUCCCGACACGGGGAGGUAGUGACAAUAAAUACUGAUACAGGGCUCUUUUGGGUCUUGUAAUUGGAAUGAGUACAAUUUAAACCUCUUAACGAGGAACAAUUGGAGGGCAAGUCUGGUGCCAGCAGCCGCGGUAAUUCCAGCUCCAAUAGCGUAUAUUAAAGUUGUUGCAGUUAAAAAGCUCGUAGUUGAAACUUGG